rnacentral:rRNA from 1 species
AGUGAACGCUGGCGGUAGGCCUAACACAUGCAAGUCGAACGGCAGCACGGUAAGAGCUUGCUCUUACGGGUGGCGAGUGGCGGACGGGUGAGGAAUACAUCGGAAUCUACUUUUUCGUGGGGGAUAACGUAGGGAAACUUACGCUAAUACCGCAUACGACCUACGGGUGAAAGCAGGGGAUCUUCGGACCUUGCGCGAUUGAAUGAGCCGAUGUCGGAUUAGCUAGUUGGCGGGGUAAAGGCCCACCAAGGCGACGAUCCGUAGCUGGUCUGAGAGGAUGAUCAGCCACACUGGAACUGAGACACGGUCCAGACUCCUACGGGAGGCAGCAGUGGGGAAUAUUGGACAAUGGGCGCAAGCCUGAUCCAGCCAUACCGCGUGGGUGAAGAAGGCCUUCGGGUUGUAAAGCCCUUUUGUUGGGAAAGAAGAGCAGCAGGUUAAUACCCCGCUGUUCUGACGGUACCCAAAGAAUAAGCACCGGCUAACUUCGUG